rnacentral:tRNA from 1 species
AAGUAGAUGUUUUUUUUACGAAAGCGGGUACAGAGUUUCUACUUAGGAGAGUUAGAAAACACUGACU